rnacentral:rRNA from 1 species
AUACGUAGUGGUGCAAGCGUUAUCCGGAUUUACUGGGUGUAAAGGGAGCGUAGACGGAGUGGCAAGUCUGAUGGUGAAAACCCGGGGCUCAACCCCGGGACUGCAUUGGAAACUGUCAAUCUAGAGUACCGGAGAGGUAAGCGGAAUUCCUAGUGUAGCGGUGAAAUGCGUAGAUAUUAGGAGGAACACCAGUGGCGAAGGCGGCUUACUGGACGGUAACUGACGUUGAGGCUCGAAAGCGUGGGGAGC